rnacentral:lncRNA from 1 species
AUGCACUUCUGGCGUAUUAAAAUUUUCAACUUGUUGCCUUUUGUUGGCUGUUGUUCGUGUGUUUCUUUGUCAAUUGUAUUCUCCAAUUUAUUUAUAUUGUAGUCCUGUGGUGUUGAUUUGUCAUCUUAAUGUUAUAUUUCACAUGGCUAUAAAAGGGGAGGUUUGGCAUGCCACAAAACCAGGUUCAACCCGCCAUUUUUUUCUUUAAAAAUGUCCUGUACCAAGUCAGGAAUAUGGCCAUUGUUAUAUUAUAGUUCGUUUCUGUAUGUGUUACAUUUUAACGUUGCGUCGUUUGUUUUCUCUUAUUUUUGAGUGUAAAUUCACAUUGCGAUAAGACGUACUUGUCUAUCCCAAAUUCUUGUAUUUGGUUUUGAUGUUAUAUUUGUUAUUCUCGUGGGAUUUUGUCUGUUGCUUGGUCCGUUUCUGUGUGUGUUACAUUGUAGUGUUGUGUCGUUGUUCUCCUCUUAUAUUUAAUGCGUUUCCCUCAGUUUUAGUUU